CACUGUGGUGCACUAGCUUUAUCUGGGUGGAUAGCCUUUCGAAAGAAAGAUUAGUACCCAUAAUAUGUUGAAUGGCCAUCAUUCGACAUUGAAAACUCCGGUGGAUAGAGAUGGGCACUGCUGCCAGACUUACGACUAGCUUGGGUCGAAGUGUAACCGGGCUCCAACAAGUCCUAACUAAUCCUCUCUAAGCGGCGCCUGAGAGGGUCGAACCCCCCAUACUGGUACUGAGACACUGGACCAAGAUCAUACGGGAGUGCAAGCAAGUGAGGAAUAUUUGGACAAUGGGUGAGAGCCUGAUCCAGCAUCCCUGUGUGAAAGUGACGAUUGCCCUAUGGGUNUGUAAACUUCUUUUGUAUAGGGAUAAACUACACCUCGUGAGGGUAAGCUUGAAGUGUACUUAUACCGAAUAAGGCAACUGGCUAACUUCCCGGUGGCCCCAGGCCAGCCCGAUGNGGUAAAUUACGGGANCGUGGUUGGCCAAAGCUGUUCAUCCCCGGAAUUCUCACUCGGGUUCUANAACACGGGGCUCCCGNAAACGUGGCGGAUCCUUGUCAAAGGUCCACAGUUGGGUCGAAAUAUNCUUCAACGAAGCUUUAA
rnacentral:rRNA from 1 species